UACGUAGGGGGCUAGCGUUGUCCGGAAUCAUUGGGCGUAAAGAGCUCGUAGGUGGUUCGGUAAGUCGGGUGUUAAACCCCCAGGCUCAACCUGGGGACGCCACUCGAUACUGCUGUGACUAGAGUCCGGUAGGGGAGCGUGGAAUUCCUGGUGUAGCGGUGAAAUGCGCAGAUAUCAGGAGGAACACCAGCGGCGAAGGCGGCGCUCUGGGCCGGUACUGACACUGAGGAGCGAAAGCGUGGGUAGCAAACAGG
rnacentral:rRNA from 1 species